rnacentral:lncRNA from 1 species
GCUGUGCUGAUUGGCCACAGCCCGGAGGCCGUGCUGUGGGCGUUGGAGGCCUUGGCCAAUCAGAGCACCAGUGCUCUCCUGGCUGGCCCCGCCCCCUCAGCUGAGGCCCCGCCCACCCUGAGGAGCCUCCUGCAGGUGAGGGGGGAGGGGAAGGGAAAUUUGGGGUCAAAAUUGGGGAUUUUGGGGUCAAAAUUGGGGAUUUUGGGGUCAAAAUUGGGAUUUUGAGGAAUUUUGGGGUCAAAAUUGGGAAUUUGGGGGAAUUUUAGGGUCAAGUUUUAGGAAUUUGGGGGGCAAAAUUUGGGGAUUUUGGGGUCAAAAUUGGGAAUUUUGUGGAAUUUUGGGGUCAAAAAUUUGGGAAUUUGGGGUUUUGGGGUCCCUGAGUUGAUUUUUGGGGUCCCUGAGGGUUUUUUUUUUGGGUGGAAUUUGGGAUUUUGGUGUGGAUUUGGGGAGUUUUGGGGGUGGAAUUUCAGGUUUUUAAAGUGGACUUGGGGUUUUUGGGGUGGAAUUUUGGGGAUUUUGGGAUGGAUUUGGGUUUUUGGGGUGGAAUUUGGGAUUUUGGGGUGGACUUGGGGUUUUUUGGGGUGGAUUUGGGGUUGUUGGGGUAGAAUUUGGGGUUUUUGGGGUCCCUGAGCUGUUUUUGGGGGUGGAUUUGGGGUUUUUGGGGUGGAUUUGGGUUUUUGGGGCUUUUUGGGGGGAUUUUGGGGAACUUUGGGAUGGAAUUUGGGAUUUUGGAGAUUUUUGGGGUGGAAUUUGGGGUUUUGGGGUCCCUGAGUCGAUUUUCGAGCUCCCUGAGGUGGUUUUGGGGUGAAAUUUGGGGUUUUUUGGGUUCAAGGUUUGGGAUUUUGGGGUCAAAAUUUGGGAUUUUGGGGAUUUUUGGGGUCCCUGGAUCCAUUUCUGGGCUCCCUGAGGGUUUUUGAGGUGGAUUUGAGCUUUUUUGGGGUAGAUGCAGGGGUUUUGGGGAGGAUUUUGGGGUUAAAAUUUGGGAUUUUGGGGCUUUUUGGGGUGGAUUUUGGAGUUUUUGGGGUGGAUUUGGGGGUUUUGGGGUUGAAUUUGGGUUUUUUGGGGUCCCUGAGUGGCUUUUGGGGGGAAUUUUGGCGUCAAGGUUUGGGAUUUUUGGGAUUUUUGGGGUGGACUUUGGGUUUUUUGGGGUCCCUGAGUCGAUUUUUGGGGUCCCCAGGAGCGCUGGGGGGCCGUGGGGGGGGUGUGGGGGGGCGCUGCCCCCCCUCCUGUCCCACCUGUCCCACCUGAGGGGACACCUGGGGACGCACCUGGAGCGGGGGAGGGGCACGGAGCCAGCUGCCAGGCUGUUCCUGCUCCGGGUGGGGCUCGCCGCCUUCCGGGGCUCCCUGCGCCGCUCCCUGAGGCUCCUCCAGCCCCAAAACCCCCAAAAUUCACCCCAAAAACAACAAAGCCCCGCCCCCAAAGCCCAAAAACCCCAAAAUCCCCAAAAUUCGGCCCCAAAAUCCCAGGAUUUGGCCUCAAAAUCGGCUCUAAAACCCCAAAAUUCGGACCCAAAAUCUCCAAUUUUGGUUCCAGAAUUCCCAAAUUCGGCCCCAAAACCUCAAAAUCCUCAAAAUUCAGCCCCAAAAUCCCCGGAUUUGGCCCCAAAUUCGGCCCCAAAAUCUCCAAAUUUGGCCCCAAAAUCCCCAAAUUCAGCCCUAAAAUUUGAGAAUUUGGCCCCAAAAUCCCCGGAUUUGGCCCCAGAAUUCCCGGAUUUGGCCCCAAAAUUGGAGCCUUUGGCCCCAAAAUCGCCGGAUUUUGCCCCAAA